GCCCAAAUGAUGAUGAUGAUGAACUCAUAACUUAUUCUCAGAUAGAAAAAUUAAUUUUCAAAACAUCAAACGAUACAGCAAACCGUCAAGUCAUGUCAUGUCAUUACAACAACAACAACAAAAUGUUAAUGAAAAUUAAUUAACUUGAAUUAAUAGUUGUAAACUUGAUCAUUUGAAUGUUUGUGUUUUUUGGUGACAAGAAAAAAAAUUGAUAUCCAAUCCAAAAUGAUCCGGAUUAUCUGCCGAUUGAUUAUUGAUUUUUUUUCUUUCUUUUUUUUUGAUUAACUAGCUCAUUUUUCUCUCUCUCUCUCUCUCUGAUUCGAUAAAAACGGAACAGAAAUAUUCUUGUCAAUUUUCUUUUUUUUUUUUGCUGAUGAUUAAUUAAUAGUACAGUGUUUAAUUAAUGAAUGAUUGAUUGAUUUUGUUGUUCAAUAAAUUGUGUGCGAGUGUGUAUACGGGCAACAA